rnacentral:rRNA from 1 species
UAAGGAAUAUUGGUCAAUGGACGCAAGUCUGAACCAGCCAUGCCGCGUGAAGGAUGAAGGUCCUCUGGAUUGUAAACUUCUUUUAUCUGGGACGAAAACGGGAUUUUUAUCUCAAUUGACGGUACCAGAGGAAUAAGCACCGGCUAACUCCGUGCCAGCAGCCGCGGUAAUACGGAGGGUGCGAGCGUUAUCUGGAUUUACUGGGUUUAAAGGGUGCGUAGGUGGGCUUAUAAGUCAGUGGUGAAAUCUCCGAGCUUAACUUGGAAACUGCCGUUGAUACUAUAGGUCUUGAAUUAUCUGGAGGUAAGCGGAAUAUGUCAUGUAGCGGUGAAAUGCUUAGAUAUGACAUAGAACACCAAUUGCGAAGGCAGCUUACUACAUAUAAAUUGACGCUGAGGCACGAAAGCGUGGGGAUCAAAC